AUUGAACGCUGGCGGCAUGCCUUACACGUGCAAGUCGAACGGUAACAGGUCUUCGUAUGCUGACGAGUGGCGAACGGGUGAGUAAUACAUCGGAACGUGCCUAGUAGUGGGGGAUAACUACUCGAAAGAGUGGCUAAUACCGCAUGAGAUCUACGGAUGAAAGCAGGGGAUCGCAAGACCUUGUGCUACAAGAGCGGCCGAUGGCAGAUUAGGUAGUUGGUGGGGUAAAAGCUCACCAAGCCGACGAUCUGUAGCUGGUCUGAGAGGACGAUCAGCCACACUGGGACUGAGACACGGCCCAGACUCCUACGGGAGGCAGCAGUGGGGAAUUUUGGACAAUGGGCGAAAGCCUGAUCCAGCAAUGCCGCGUGCAGGAUGAAGGCCUUCGGGUUGUAAACUGCUUUUGUACGGAACGAAAAGCCCCGGGUUAAUACCCUGGGGUCAUGACGGUACCGUAAGAAUAAGCACCGGCUAACUACGUGCCAGCCGCCGCCGUAA
rnacentral:rRNA from 1 species